rnacentral:rRNA from 1 species
AGCGAACGCUGGCGGCGUGCUUAACACAUGCAAGUCGAACGCGCAGCAUUCUGUAGCAAUACAGGGUGUGGGCGCGUGGCGAACGGGUGCGUAACACGUGGAUAACCUUCCUUCAGGUGGGGAAUAACCCAGUGAAAAUUGGGCUAAUACCGCAUAACAUGACGAUGGCACAUGCUGUUGUCUUCAAAGGCGCAAGUCGCCAGAAGAGGGAUCCGCGGCCGAUUAGCUUGUUGGCGAGGUAAUGGCUCACCAAGGCAUUGAUCGGUAGCCGGACUGAGAGGUUGACCGGCCACACUGGAACUGAGACACGGUCCAGACUCCUACGGGAGGCAGCAGUGGGGAAUCUUGCACAAUGGACGAAAGUCUGAUGCAGCAACGCCGCGUGGGGGAUGAAGCUUCUCGGAGUGUAAACCCCUUUCGACCCGGAAGAAUGCCCGCAAGGGCUUGACGGUACGGGUAUAAGAAGCCCCGGCUAACUACGUGCCAGCAGCCGCGGUAAUACGUAGGGGGCCAGCGUUGCUCGGAAUUACUGGGCGUAAAGGGUCCGUAGGCGGUGCGGCAAGUCGAGAGUGAAAUCCCUAGGCUUAACCUAGGGGCUGCUAGCGAAACUGCCG